UGAUAGGCGGGCGGGAAUUCCCCGCAACCUCUAAUAGGUUUAGCCUUUCCGGCCUACUCUCCCUUCCCGGACAAAGGACCGAACCGCGGUCGUUUCCAUGGAGAUUGCGAACGCCUUCGCGUCACGUCCUCCUUUCCCAGAUCAGCGCUCGUUUGUGGACGAGAGUUUCGCGCGCUCCCUGAACGCUCCCCCCACCCCCCUGAGUGUCGGGGUUUUAAGGGCGCAGGCAGCCCUCCCCAAAGGCCACUGGGUGGGCAGGCGCGCUCGCUGCCGCCAUUUUGGCCGUGGAGGCGGCGAGACGGGAGGGAAGGAAGGAAGCGGCGCCGAGAAGUUUGUCCUUGCCACAGAAAGCCUGCGCUGCUUCCUCAGGGGACAUGGCGCGCGAGGCUGCUCAGUGCACGGUCAGAAACGCGGUCGCCGUGCAGGUGGACGGGCAAAUGUCCUGGCGACCCGGGGCGUCAGUGAUCGACGUGCUGCUGCCUCGCCGCCGGUCCUUCUUCUUACAGGAGAUUGUGUUCAGGAAUUAUUACACAGCUUUCUUGACUGUGCGGAUGCAGCAAAAAAACUUCACAAACAAGGGAAGCAAAAGCCGCUCCAGCUGGGUCACCUGCUUACGUAAUUAUUGCCUGAUGCCCAACCCACACACAGAGGAAGGCUCCCAGGAUUACUUCUGUUUCUCCAGGAAUCAGAUGCUCUGCAGUGUGGAUCGGGCGAUUGCCAUGCGGCUGAUUCUGCGCCAGCCUUCUCCAACAUGGGUGCGUUUCAGUAUUGAAGAGCUACAGCUCUGCCCUGGAGACCAAGAGAUCGCUAGCUGUGAUCCAUGGUUGCCAGGCCAACUCUCUGUCUUACCCACAUUGGAUGGCAUCAGCAAAGAUUUGCAGUGGCAUCAGGAACAUCAAGCAGCUAUAUCAGAGCACCCAGCAAUACCACUUCUAUGUAUUUCUGAUACUAAGAAAGACAAGAAAGCAGUUUGGAGAACUUGCAGAAAGGUUUCUCUGUCUGACUCCCACAUCCAUCAACCAAAGUCUGGCCAGGAAACCUUUGUUUGGUAAGUAGAGUCAGUAAAAGACGACACUGCAGCUUAGAAAAGAGGUCCCAAAAUAUCUGGACCCAGGGACAUAGCUGGAAAUCUAAGAAACUUGUGGGCACAAAAUGUUCAUUGUGUGGAAGAACAUGCAAUGCUCAGAAACUUCUCCCCCAGCAAUAGGCAAAAAGCCUACACAGUCUCCAGAUGAACAGAAGACCAAACAACAGGCAUCACAACAAAAAAUGUAAAAACCCCUCAUUUAAUAUAAGGGGGGCAUAGACACCAAAUUGGAGACCCUAGCUGUAGAAAGACUAGAAAAAACUAUGUGUGCCAUAUAGCUCAGCUGUUAGUCAGGACUUGACCAUUAUUGAUGGGCUGCAUGGUGUGCAGGCCUCUGAGUACUCUGCACUAAAAAAAAGUUCAGCAUCACAAGAAGGUAACUCUUUUAACCUGCAUAAAAUAUGUAUAUUUGCAUGAAAUUUUAUUUUUCAAAUGCUGCUUUAUAUUUUCUACUAUUUUGCAUAAUGUGUCCUGACUUUGUAAGUAGGCUAAGGAACCAUGCAAUCUACUAGAACCUUAACCUGUAGCUACUGGAAAUCUUGAGCUCUGAGAUUUUUGCAAGCAUUGCCCACACACUUUCAGAGUAUAUCUUCACAGUCAUAAGGGUUGGAAAUUUGCUCUUAUAAGAAAAAAAAACAUUCUCAGGAAGCUGAACACUGCAUCCCAUGUGCCAUGCUAUAUUCACACAGAAUCUUAGCAGUAAUGCGAGACGCAUCAACUGUUGGGGUGGUACCGUAGUUGAAGCAGGUAGGAGAUAAAUUGCUGCCCUUCUCAACAACAGUCUCUUCCUUUCAGGAAUUUCCCAAUGCUAACCAAGAGUUUUCAGAAGUCCAGUAAAUGUGGGUGCUAGCGGAGAUACUCCAAUCAGCCAGCAGUGCAGAUCAGGCAUUUCAAUGUGGAUGGCUGUUAUUAUAGUAGCCUCUUCUACACGUGAGUUUUCCAAGCACGAGAACAUGGCACAUUUCUUAGAAAUAGCACUGUUUUAUGUAGAUUGCUGCAAAGAUGCUACUAGAAAAAGAUGAGGAAUCCAUCAAUGUUGGUUUCCUUCCCCUUUUAGAGCUGCUAGAUGUGGCCUCAUCCAGUAGAUCUGGAGGACCUUGUCGUUUGAAAUGUUGUAUAAUUUAGUGCAAGAAAAGAAUGAGUUGUAUCUUACGGUAUGUUCCUUUCUGGGGUUUCAGUAGCUGUGCUCUUUCUGACUAGAUAUGCUUUUGCAGUUCCACAAAGUUCCUUACUACAGCAGAGAGAUGCGUCCAGCUUCACAGAAUAGGUCAUUAGCUGAUUUAUCCCACAUCUUCCAUCCUUUAGUCACAUCCUUUGUUCUUUUCUCCUUUUAAUUUGAAAGCACUUUCUCUUGGUGCAGCCACAAAAGUAGAAAGGAAUGUUAAUGGUGUGAAUUGCUAAAUAAAUGCAUUUAUUAAGCUUGUUUCCAGACUAACUUUUUUUAAAAAGUUUUUAAAUAAUAAUGGGAACUGCUCGAACAUAACUUCAGUUUAGUAAGGCUGUAUUGGCAGUUGAACAUGGACUAAAGAUUUACAUCAGGCACCCCCAAACUGCGGCCCUCCAGAUGUUUUGGCCUACAACUCCCAUGAUCCCUAGCUAGCAGGGCCAAUGGUCAGGGAAGAUGGGAAUUGUAGCUCAAAACAUCUGGAGGGCCGAAGUUUGGGGAAGCCUGAUUUACAUUAAGCAACUGACAUUUGUGAACCAUUUUUAACUCAGCUUUGUGUGAGAUGAGCCCCAUUAAAAUAGCAUUUUCCCCCAAGGGCAAAAGAACAAGUACUAGUGCCUAGAAGUAAUCUCCUUAAGUCUUACAA